GAUAUAUUCAAGACUAAUAGUUUCAAACCAUGCAAUAUUUUUUCACGUUCAAAAGUUUGCUUUGUGUGUGGAUCCAUGAAAGAGAUAUGACUUAAAGAACAACUAACUAUAAUAUCUGACUCAAACACUUUAAUAAAUUGGGUUUUGCUGAGAAGUUCAUGUUUCAAUAUAUCAAAUCAUGAAGCCUCAAUUAAUACCAUAUGCACAAGACAAAUGAUCCAGGAAGCUGGCCAACUGACCCAACAUACCAGGCAGGUGACUAAGCCAACAAGCAGGCUGACCUGCGCAGGUAAGACAGGCACAGGCGC